rnacentral:rRNA from 1 species
AGCCUGAUCCAGCCAUGCCGCGUGCAGGAUGACGGUCCUAUGGAUUGUAAACUGCUUUUGUACGAGAAGAAACACUCCAACGUGUUGGAGCUUGACGGUAUCGUAAGAAUAAGGAUCGGCUAACUCCGUGCCAGCAGCCGCGGUAAUACGGAGGAUCCAAGCGUUAUCCGGAAUCAUUGGGUUUAAAGGGUCCGUAGGCGGUUUAGUAAGUCAGUGGUGAAAGCCCAUCGCUCAACGGUGGAACGGCCAUUGAUACUGCUAAACUUGAAUUAUUAGGAAGUAACUAGAAUAUGUAGUGUAGCGGUGAAAUGCUUAGAGAUUACAUGGAAUACCAAUUGCGAAGGCAGGUUACUACUAAUGGAUUGACGCUGAUGGACGAAAGCGUGGGUAGCGAACAGGAUUAGAUACCCUGGUAGUCCACGCCGUAAACGAUGGAUACUAGCUGUUGGGAGCAAUCUCAGUGGCUAAGCGAAAGUGAUAAGUAUCCCACCUGGGGAGUACGUUCGCAAGAAUGAAACUCAAAGGAAUUGACGGGGGCCCGCACAAGCGGUGGAGCAUGUGGUUUAAUUCGAUGAUACGCGAGGAACCUUACCAAGGCUUAAAUGUAGUUUGACCGAUUUGGAAACAGAUCU